rnacentral:rRNA from 1 species
UGAGGAAUCUUCCACAAUGGACGCAAGUCUGAUGGAGCGACACCGCGUGAAGGAAGAAGGUCUAACGAUUGUAAACUUCUUUUCUGAGGGAACAUAAUGAGGGUACCUCAGGAAUAAGGGACGGCAAAUCACGUGCCAGCAGCCGCGGUAAUACGUGAGUCUCAAGCGUUACUCGGAAUUACUGGGUGUAAAGGGUCUGUAGGUGGAUUUUUAAGUCAGAUAUGAAAGACCGGAGCUCAACUCCGUGUUUGUAUUUGAAACUGGAAAUCUAGAAUUAGGAAGAGGUAAGCGGAAUUCUAAGUGUAGGGGUGCAAUCCGUAGAUACUUAGAAGAACACCAAAAGCGAAGGCAGCUUACUGGUACUAUAUUGACACUGAUAGACGAAAGCAUGGGGAGCGAAAAGG